UACGAAGGGUGCAAGCGUUAGUCGGAAUUACUGGGCGUAAAGCGUGCGUAGGCGGUUUCUUAAGUCGGAUGUGAAAGCCCUGGGCUCAACCUGGGAAUGGCACUCGAUACUGGGAAGCUUGAGUGCGGUAGAGGAGGGUGGAAUUCCCGGUGUAGCGGUGAAAUGCGUAGAGAUCGGGAGGAACAUCAGUGGCGAAGGCGACCCUCUGGACCAGCACUGACGCUGAGGCACGAAAGCGUGGGGAGCAAACAGG
rnacentral:rRNA from 1 species